GAUGAACGCUGGCGGCGUGCUUAACACAUGCAAGUCGAACGAAGCACCUUAUUCUGAUUUCUUCGGAAUGAAAAAUUUGGUGACUGAGUGGCGGACGGGUGAGUAACGCGUGGGUAACCUGCCUCAUACAGGGGGAUAACAGUUAGAAAUGACCGCUCAUACCGCAUAAGACCACAGCACCGCAUGGUGCAGGGGUAAAAACUCCGGUGGUAUGAGAUGGACCCGCGUCUGAUUAGGUAGUUGGUGGGGUAACGGCCUACCAAGCCGACGAUCAGUAGCCGACCUGAGAGGGUGACCGGCCACAUUGGGACUGAGACACGGCCCAAACUCCUACGGGAGGCAGCAGUGGGGAAUAUUGCACAAUGGGGGAAACCCUGAUGCAGCGACGCCGCGUGAGCGAUGAAGUAUUUCGGUAUGUAAAGCUCUAUCAGCAGGGAAGAAAAUGACGGUACCUGACUAAGAAGCACCGGCUAAAUACGUGCCAGCCGCCGCCGUAA
rnacentral:rRNA from 1 species